rnacentral:snRNA from 2 species
AGCUUUGUGCAGUAGCAGUAUCAGAGCCAAUGAGGUUUAUCCAAGGCACAAUUAUUGCUAAUUGAAAACUUUUCCCAUUUAG